UUUCCGUAGGUGAACCUGCGGAAGGAUCAUUAAUGAGUUGUCAUGGGGUUCGAUGCUGGCAGCCAAUUUUUGGAUGCAUGUGCUUGCCCUAACAAUCAUCUUCCAAACACCUGUGCACAUUUUUGAGGGAGUCUUGAGUUGGUUGCCGCUCUUGGGUGAUUUUCUCACAUUCCCUUAAAUCAUUAUACGCUAUUAACAAUGUUGAACGUGCUCUGUGCCGCAAUGCUAUUAAUAUAAUACAACUUUUAACAACGGAUCUCUUGGCUCUC
rnacentral:misc_RNA from 1 species